rnacentral:lncRNA from 1 species
GUGAAAACCCAUCUCUAUAAAAAAUACAGAAAUUAGCUGGGUGCGGUGGCACAUGGCUGUAGUCCCAGCUACUUGGCAGGUAGCUGAAGUGGGAGGAUCACUUGAGCCUGGGAGGUUGAGGCUGCGGUGAGCCAAGAUUGAGCCACUGCACUCCAGCCUGGGUGACAAAGAAAGACCCUGUCGAAGAAGAAGAAGCAGCAGCAGCAGAAAAAGAAGAAGAAGAAGAAGCAGAAGAAGCAGAAGAAGAAGCAGAAGAAGAAGAAGCAGAAGAAGAAGAAGAAGAAACAAAGGGGAGGAUGCAACUUGGAGAGCUACUCCAAGCUCCAGAGCCAGCCACGGAGCACUCCUGGAACUCUUUGCAGGAUCCAUCUCGAAGUUCUGACUCCCAGCAGAGAAACAACACUGGCCCAGCCCCUAGGAGAAAGCCUAACUGCAGUAAAGGAGUCCUGGAGACAGGACAAGAAUGAAGUCAAUGAAGCAUAGCAGGAGUGGAGAUAAAGACGCGCAUGAAAUUUGGUGCUGUGACUCGGAUUGGGGGACCUCCCUUGGGAGAUCAAUCCCCUGUACUCCUGUUCUUUGCUCCGUGAGAAAGAUCCACCUAUGAUCUCAGGUCCUCAGACCGACCAGCCCAAGGAACAUCUCACCAAUUUUAAAUCAGGUAAGCGGCCUCUUCUUACUCUCUUCUCCAACCUCUCUCACUGUCCCUCAACCACUUUCUCCUUUCCACUCUUCAAUCUCUCCCUUCUCUUAAUUUCAAUUCCUUUCAUUUUCUGGUAGAGACAAAGGAGACACGUUUUAUCCGUGGACCCAAAACUCCGGCGCCAGUCACGGACUGGGAAGGCAGCCUUCCCUUGGUGUUUAAUCAGUGCAGGGACGCCUCUCUGAUUAUACACCCACGUUUCAAGGGUGUCAGACCACGCAGGGACGCCUGCCUUGGUCCUUCAACCUCAGCGGCAAGUCCCGCUUUUCUGGGGUAGGGGCAAGUAGCUCAACCCCUUCUCUCCUUGUCUCUACCCCUUCUCUGCUUUUCUGGGAGAGGGGCAAGUACCCCUCAACCCCUUCUCCUUCACCCUUAGCGGCAAGUCCCGCUUUCCUAGGGGGCAAGAAGCCCCCAAUAGCUUAUUUCCGCACCCCAACCUCUUAUCUCUGUGCCCCAAUCCCUUAUUUCCGCACCCUGACCUCUUAUCUCUGUGCCCCAAUCCCUUAUUUCCGUGCCCCAACUCCUUCUCUGCUUUUCUGGAGGGCAAGAACCCCCCACCCCUUCUCCGUGUCUCUACUCUUCUCUGGGCUUGCCUCCUUCACUAUGGGUAAGCUUCCACCUUCCAUUCCUCCUUCUUCUCCCUUAGCCUGUGUUCUCAAAAACUUAAAACCUCUUCAACUCACACCUGACCUAAAACCUAAAUGCCUUAUUUUCUUCUGCAAUGCCGCUUGACCCCAAUACAAACUCGACAGUAGUUCCAAAUAGCCAGAAAAUGGCACUUUGAAUUUUUCCAUCCUGCAAAAUCUAAAUAAUUCUUGUCAUAAAAUAGGCAAACGAUCUGAGGUGCCUGACGUCCAGGCAUUCUUUUACACAUCAGUCCCGUCCUAGUCUCUGUGCCCAGUGCAACUCGUCCCAAAUCUUCCUUCUUUCCCUCCCGCCUGUCCCCUCAGUACCAACCCCAAGCGUCGCUGAAUCUUUCUAAUCUUCCUUUUCUACAGACCCACCUGACCUCUCCCUUCCUCCCAGGCUGCUCCUCGCCAGGCCGAGCUAGGUCCCAAUUCUUCCUCAGCCUCUGCUCCUCCACCCUAUAAUCCUUUUAUCACCUCCCCUCCUCACACCUGGUCCGGCUUACAGUUUCGUUCCGUGACUAGCCCUCCCCCACCUGCCCAGCAAUUUACUCUUAAAAAGGUGGCUGGAGCUAAAGGCAUAGUCAAGGUUAAUGCUCCUUUCUCUUUAUCCCAAAUCAGAAGCGUUUAGGCUCUUUUUCAUCAAAUAUAAAAAUCCAGCCCAGUUCAUGGCUCGUUCGGCAGCAACCCUGAGACACUUUACAGCCCUAGACCCUAAAAGGUCAAAAGGCCGUCUUAUUCUCAAAAUACAUUUUAUUACCCAAUCUGCUCCCAACAUUAAAUAAAACUCCAAAAAUUAAAUUCCGGCCCUCAAACCCCACAACAGGAUUUAAUUAACCUCGCCUUCAAGGUGUACCAUAAUAGAAAAAAGUUGCAAUUCCUUGCCUCCACUGUGAGACAAACCCCAGCCACAUCUCCAGCACACAAGAACUUCCAAACGCCUGAACCGCAGCGGCCAGGUGUUCCCCCAGAACCUCCUCCCCCAGGAGCUUGCUACACGUGCCGGAAAUCUGGCCACUGGGCCAAGGAAUGCCCGCAGCCCGGGAUUCCUCCUAAGCCGCGUCCCAUCUGUGCGGGACCCCACUGGAAAUCGGACUGUUCGACUCACCUGGCAGCCACUCCCAGAGCCCCUGGAACUCUGGCCCAAGGCUCUCUGACUGACUCCUUCCCAGAUCUUCUCGGCUUAGCGGCUGAAGACUGACGCUGCCCGAUCGCCUCAGAAGCCCCCUAGACCAUCACCGACGCUGAGCUUCGGGUAACUCUCACAGUGGAAGAUGAAGAAACUGGGGCUCUGAAUGGCAUAUUAACGCGUGCAGCUCCAGACAGCGAGGAAGUGAUGGCAACUCUAUCCGAACUCAAAUCUGCCAGACCUAUACCAGUAGGUGCCUGUGUGCAGUUGGGGACUCACCUCUGCCAGUGCUGGCAUGAGCUAGCUGUCUUGAACUGAAAACAGACACUCAAAGAUGGGCUGUGGGAUCCCAGAGAGGUGGCAGAAUGGUCAAAGCUAUGAAGCCAACAGCUGCUGCCAACAAGAAAGUCCUGAGCCCUGAGUGAUUGUAAUUUAAACUUAAUGCUGGGAGUGGGUGUUUAUUUUGGAGGAGUGGGCUGCUUAUUUUUGGUUUGGGGACUUGUUCAUUCAUCUUUUCUCAGCGGCGCCUACUGCUGCCCUGGCCCGAAGUUAAAGCUCAAUAAAUCACUGUUGCACAACUGAGUGCCCACGCCUAGAUUGUAAGUUCCUGGAAGGCAAGGAUUUGUGUCCCACACUUGUUUUGUACCCUCCAGGAUCUUGCACAGCACUUGGCGAAUGGGUAUUGAAUGAAUUCAUUCACUGAAGCGUCUCUCUGGUGCCAGGCCCAGUGCUAAGUGAUGGGAAUACACAGAUGAAUACGAUAUGGUCCCUGCUCUUGGGUAACUCAUUAUUCUGGUAAAUGAAUAAAGGAAA